ensembl:snRNA U6 U6 spliceosomal RNA
GUGCUUCCUUCAGCAGCACAUAUACUAAAAUUGGAACAAUACAGAGAUUAGCGUGGCCCCUAUGCAAGGAUGACAUGCAAAUUUGUGAAGCAUUUCAUAUAUAA